rnacentral:rRNA from 1 species
GUGGGGAAUCUUAGACAAUGGGCGCAAGCCUGAUCUAGCCAUGCCGCGUGAUCGAUGAAGGCCUUAGGGUUGUAAAGAUCUUUCGCUGGGGAAGAUAAUGACUGUACCCAGUAAAGAAGCCCCGGCUAACUCCGUGCCAGCAGCCGCGGUAAUACGGAGGGGGCUAGCGUUAUUCGGAAUUACUGGGCGUAAAGCGCACGUAGGCGGACUGGAAAGUUGGGGGUGAAAUCCCGGGGCUCAACCUCGGAACUGCCUUCAAAACUCCCAGUCUUGAGUUCGAGAGAGGUGAGUGGAAUUCCGAGUGUAGAGGUGAAAUUCGUAGAUAUUCGGAGGAACACCAGUGGCGAAGGCGGCUCACUGGCUCGAUACUGACGCUGAGGUGCGAAAGCGUGGGGAGCAAACAGGAUUAGAUACCCGGGUAGUCC